AGUGAACGCUGGCGGUAGGCCUAACACAUGCAAGUCGAACGGCAGCACAGGAGAGCUUGCUCUCUGGGUGGCGAGUGGCGGACGGGUGAGGAAUACAUCGGAAUCUACUCUGUCGUGGGGGAUAACGUAGGGAAACUUACGCUAAUACCGCAUACGACCUACGAGUGAAAGCAGGGGACCUUCGGGCCUUGCGCGAUUGAAUGAGCCGAUGUCGGAUUAGCUAGUUGGCGGGGUAAAGGCCCACCAAGGCGACGAUCCGUAGCUGAUCUGAGAGGAUGAUCAGCCACACUGGAACUGAGACACGGUCCAGACUCCUGCGGGAGGCAGCAGUGGGGAAUAUUGGACAAUGGGCGCAAGCCUGAUCCAGCCAUACCGCGUGGGUGAAGAAGGCCUUCGGGUUGUAAAGCCCUUUUGUUGGGAAAGAAAUCCAGCUGGCUAAUACCCGGUUGGGAUGACGGUACCCAAAGAAUAAGCACCGGCUAACUUCGUGCCAGCCGCCGCCGUAA
rnacentral:rRNA from 1 species